UGGGGAAUAUUGGACAAUGGGGGAAACCCUGAUCCAGCGAUGCCGCGUGAGUGAAGAAGGCCUUCGGGUUGUAAAGCUCUUUCAGAGGGGAUGAUGAUGACGGUACCCUCAGAAGAAGCACCGGCUAACUUCGUGCCAGCAGCCGCGGUAAUACGAAGGGUGCAAGCGUUGUUCGGAAUUACUGGGCGUAAAGGGCGCGUAGGCGGCUUAUCAAGUCAGGCGUGAAAUCCCUGGGCUCAACCCGGGAAUUGCGUUUGAAACUGGUAAGCUUGAGUGUCAGAGGGGUGAGUGGAAUUCCUAGUGUAGAGGUGAAAUUCGUAGAUAUUAGGAGGAACACCAGUGGCGAAGGCGACUCACUGGCUGAAUACUGACGCUAAGGCGCGAAAGCGUGGGGAGCAAACAGG
rnacentral:rRNA from 1 species